GGCCCAAACAAAUGAACAUACGGCGUAAAGCGUGUUUAAGACCCAUUCCUAAUAAAGUCAAACUGUAACUAAUCUGUAAAAAGUCCCUAGUUACUGUAAGCCCUAUAACCAAAGUAACUUUAAUCAUCUGACUACACGACAACUAAGACCCAAACUGGGAUUAGAUACCCCACUAUGCUUAGUUUUAAACUAGAAUAAUUAUUACAACAAAACUACUCGCCAGAGAACUACUAGCUAAAGCUAAAAACUCAAAGGACUUGGCGGUGCUUUACAUCCCCCUAGAGGAGCCUGUUCUAUAAUUGAUAAACCCCAAUAAACCUCACCGACCCUUGCUAAUU
rnacentral:rRNA from 1 species